AGCGCGGCUGGCUGGGAUGAGGCAGCAGCAGCAGCGAGCGGCGGGCGCGUCCCUGCGACACUGAGGCGCCCGAGCCCGGCCCCGGAGCGACCCGCCCGGGCCGCCCCCGCCCUGCCGGCCGGCACCAUGAUGGAGGAGAUAGACCGGUUCCAGGUGCCCACCGUGCGCGCCGAGAUGCAGCCGCUGGAUCCAACAGCUGCAUCUAUCUCAGACCGAGACUGCGAUACAAGGGAGGGAGAGACCGUAGCCAUGAACUAUAAACCAUCCCCACUUCAAGUGAAACUAGAAGUGCCUGAGAACUACAGUCUCUCCUUUUAACCAGCAUCUACCUCUGCUAAGCUGUCUCCAGGCCACUUUGCAGUCCUGUCCU